ACAAGACCCCUACAAGUUCACUACAGGUAACUACAAGACCAUUACGUCACAACAAGGUCACACAGUCUACUGAUAUCCGUUCUUCUCCUGACGUGUCUCCUCCACUUUUUACCUUUAAGACCUUGGUGUCAGAAAUAUAUGGACUCGUUAUAACGUAUGGUGCUACAGAAGCCUCGCAGAACCUCCGUGUCUUACAAGAACAUACAAGUCAUUGAAGAGAUAAUGGAUGGGUCGACGCAGGUGAAUGUUGCUCCUUGAUGAAGGACGAGCCCUUCAUCAAGGAGCAACUAGGACUCCUACUCCACGAAGCGAUCACCUGCAGUUAGGGCGUGGCGCGCUGCGAGUUGCAAGGUCUCAGUAACUCAUGACGAGAUAGUCCAAAAGAUCAUUCAUUUGAGAGGCCCAUGACCUCUCAAGAUAUAGAUCCAGGGCCAAGAGGACCAAAGAUGUGGCUGGAGAUGGCAAUAGCAUCUUUCACAGCAGUGUUUUGUCGAAAUGGUGAGAGCGUAAGAAUGGCUGAUUAACCAAAGCCGAUGGAUCUUAUUGAUUCAGAUUAUGGAUACUAGGAUAUUAAUGACAGGAUAUUUGGUGUGGAGAAACAGUGCUAAAAGUGGUUGUUAGUGUUGGCGUAGACUGGUGCUAUGGGCCUAGUGAGGUCCGCAAUAACUAGGUGGUCCGCACUCCAGGGUGUGGAUCACGUGUGAACACCUGGUUGAGGGUGGUCCAGGUGUGGUCUAGGGUGACCAGGUGUGGUCUAGGGUGACCAGGUGUGGUCUAGGGUGACCAGGUGUGGUCUAGGGUGACCAGGUGUGGUCUAGAGAGUGGACGAGGUGUUGUCCAGUGUAGACUGGGUGUUGUGGGAGGUAUAGUCAGCAGAGUUAAGUCUUACACUGCUGGUAAAGAGUUGUGACGUGAUGUAGAAUAUAUUUAUAUGUAUAUAGUCUAUUUCGAAAUAAAUAAUUAAAAUAAA